rnacentral:rRNA from 1 species
CUGGUCCGAAGCGAACCUCAUUGACUCUGGGCACUGAGAAGCUUGUGGCGAGUGAUCCCUGUACCAAAAAAAGAAUGCGUCACUACUCAACGAAUCAACGAAACGGUGCCAGGGUGCGACUCACUUCACAACUCGGCUAUUUCACCGUGAAGACGUCUACCAAAAAAGUUGAUUUCGAAGAAGUUCAAUCUAGUGUACAGUGUGAUAUAUGAAAGUAUACGUUACUGCGCAUAUUGAUUGGAACAACUUUAGUCGAUCACGCUUUAAAGGUUGUUAAUAAAGCUAUAAAACGCAGUCUGCACAUUGGGGCUAGAAUCUGAAAUAUUAGGAUAAGUGUACUUGGUUUAGUGCACUUUCUCAGUUUCAGUUCGGAUAUUAAGACUACUGUGCAUGACUUAGUGUACUUUUUCAAUUUCGACCCAGCACAUCUUUAGAUUUACAACUUACAUUUACAACAUACAUGCGAACAAACUACAUGAGUGAAAUUACCACCUCCUGAAAUUCGCCAAAGUUUGGGUAGAAUCAGGUGCAACAUCUCCCUAAUUAUUUCUUGUUGGCUUCAAGAAAAUAAUUCUCUUGCAAGUAAAUAGUCACUCAUGUAGUGUAAUUUAGUGCAAGCAUUUGAAGUGAAAGGUGGUGUGGUAUUCAAGCGGUUCAAUAAGCUUUUCUAAAACUGUCAUCAUACUUAGAAUAGGCGUGUCCAAUGUUCUGCCAUAUCUAGGGCAGAAGCGGCUGACCUGCAGUUGGUGAGGAACACACUAGCACUUGCUAUCUGAUCUCAAAUAAUUGAGUAAAAAAUCUGCUGAGAAGGGGAGCAUGUAGUCUAGUCUCUAGAUGCUGCAAAUAUCCUUUAUCUCUGGAGAAGAUGAUGUUGAAAACGAGAAGGGCGAAAUCAUUUACAAAAAGAAAAUAAGCAAACGGGGCCAGAAUUAUUACUAAGUAGGUGUGGUAAAAGAGAGUACUUUAGUCUUAAAUACAAAUAGGAUAGACAGCAGGACGGUGGACAUGGAAGUCCGUACGCGCUAACAAGUGUGUAAAAACUUACCUGCCGAGUCAACUAGCCUUGAAAAUGGAAGGAGACGCUUGAACGAGAAACCUACACCCAACCGAACUGGCUAGGGCUUUGGGUGUACGCACAGCUGGAGCUUCCGUCAGUGCAGAUCUCGGUGGUAGCAGUAAUUAUUUAAGUUCAAUCCUUGAAGACUGAAGUGGAGAAGGGGUCCAUGUGAACAGUAGUUGAAUGUGGCCAGUCGAUCCUAAGACACUGGUCUACACCUUCUAUCAUUAAGAGAGGAAAGUUUCUUUUCUCUUGGGCAUCAAAAGGGAAUAGGGUGACAAUUCUCUACCGCAUAUAGAAAAAGAUUGCGGCUCUUUGAGUCUCUUACGCGGUAACGCAUUCGAGUUUGGUUGAAUUUUGUUACUUCACUCGGAGAUUAGUUGAGCAUAACAGAGUUAUCUUCUCUAGCUAAGGAACGGACUCCCUGGAAUUGGUUCAGCCGUAGAUAGGGACAUUGUUACCGUAAAGCAUCGCGAUUUCUGUGAUAUCUCGUAACCUAUGGUCUGCCCUUGAAAAACCAAGGAAAUCCAAUAAUCUGUGCUGCAUCGUACCGAUAUCCGCAUCAGGUCUCCAAGGUGAACAACCUUUAGUCGAAAGAACAAUGUAGGUAAGGCAAUUCUGCAAAUAAGAUCCAUAACUUCGAGAAAAAGAUUGGCUCCAGUGAACUGAUCGGUUGACCUGUUAACUGAUGCGGUUUCGCUCGUGGCUGGACUAGUGACAAGAUUGCCUUGUUGAGGUUUUCAGGUGUGUGCUUUGUCUUCGGGCUUAUUAUCCUGACCGACCAUCAAAUGGUCGAACUGGAACUGAUAAGGACUGGGGGAAUCCGACUGUCUAAUUAAAACAGAGGAGGCAGGUGGUUCUAGCGGGCGUUUACUCUCUCCAAUUUCUGCUGAGUGUCCUGAAUGUUGAAUAGUAGUAAUUCGAGUGAACGUGGGUAAACGGCGCGAGUAACUGUGACUCUCUUAAGGUAGCGAAAUGCCUCGUUAGCUAACUACUGAUGCGCAUGAACGAAACCAACCCUGUGUAAUGAGAUGAUUGUGGUGGAAAGAGUAUGCUCUCGUGUAGUUUAUCCGCACCUUUUCUGUAUGGUCGUACAAUAGUUGAUUUACCUUAUAAUAGCUCUGGAUAUGCUUAUAACCAUUAAACAUUAACGAGAAAGUACUGUCCCUAACUACUGUCUAGCGAAACCAUAGUCAAGGAAGUGGAAAAAAAGAGCGAGAAAAGAAGACGCUGUUGACUUUGACUCUACUUUGACAUUCUUAAGAGUCAUGAGAGGUGAAGCAUAGCAAGGAGACUUCGGCCUCCAAUGAAAUAUCGCCACUUUCAUCGAUUCUUUACUUAUCCGGUGAGAAGAGAAUUGUAUUUUGGCUGUUUUCCAUCUUUGUGUUAAACAUAUCUCAUUAAUGACACUAUCGUCAUGCGGGGAGUUUGACUGGGGCGGUACAUCUGUUAAAUCGUAAGAAGGUGUCCUAACUGUCCUCAGAGAGGACGGAAACCACUCGUAAAGCGAAAGGACAAAAGCUCGGUUGAGCUUGACUUUCAGUACGAGUACAUACCGCGAUACGUGGCCUAUCGAUCCUUUUAAUUCAGAACGUUUCUAGUAAAAGGUGUCAGAAAAACUAGGACAGGGAUAAUUUGGUUGUGGCAGCCAAGCAUCCGUUUUAGCGACGUUGCUUUUUAACCCUUUUUGAUGUCAGCUCUUCUUAUCAUUGUGAAGCAGAAUUCGCAAACAUUGCAUUGUUCAUCCUAUAAUAGGGAAUAUGUGCGGAGUUUAGACCGCCGUAAGACAGGUUAGUCUACCUUGCUGUUGAAUAAUUGCUGCGAAAGUAGUCGUGCUUAGUGAGAGAGGAAUAGCGGGUUCAGACAUUUGGUUCAUGGACUUGACCAAUCGGUCAGGGGUCCAAAACUAACACCUGUGGAUUAUGACUGAACGCCUCUAAGUCAGAAUUCGAACU